rnacentral:lncRNA from 1 species
AAAUGUUUUACAUUUACAUCUAAAUACAUCGCACAAUUAUUCAAUCUUUUAUAUUUAUUUUUUAAAAUAAAGUUUAUGUGAGUUGAAUUUUAAGGGUUUGAUCAUCAUAAGAGUAAAAAAUAGAUGAUACAGAUUUUAUGAUCUUCUGCAAUGUAAAGCAUGACUUUUUGUUUGCUUUGAAUGUAAUGUAACUUUUCUAUGGAUAAGCACUCACCAACCAUCUCCAUAAUUUUCAUAUACAAUGACACUCAAAUCUUACCUAUUCACUUUUGGCCAAGACAAUGCAGAAAACCAAGCCUGUAAGGCUUGGUCCCCAAGCCAUGCAUAAUGUAACAACUACAUAGUCACCAAAGUGAACAUAGUCUAAUAAGUUUUUUCAUGUAACAAAAUGUUCAGAUGUUUUUUGUUUAAUCAUAUAUUUAUUUUUUGGUGAAAAUCAAGACAAUUUGAUUAUUGAUAUAAUGAUUUCAUAUACUGCAGAAUGGUGUCCAGUUUUAAAUACAGUUUCAUUAUUUUGAGAGUAUGUUAUUUGAACACCAAAAUGCUUCUCUUUGGUACGUUGGAAAUGCAUUGUGUUUAACUUGCAAAUAAUCCUCAAUUUAUGAAUGCAGGAAUCUGUUUAUGGAUGGGAAGAACUCAGCAACAUUAACUGCUAUCUUUUCAUUUUUUGCAGUAGCUUAUGUGAUUAGGCUCGACAGAGUAUACAUGUACAAGUACAACAAAACAAGGCAUUAAAAUUAGUUUGUACUUGAUGUUUGGUUUUACAUAACAUCUAUAGUUGUUAGACAGAAUUCAACUACUCCUCAAAUCCCUACGUCGGGGUAAUUACAAGAAUACAUGUCAUAAGCAACAAACUUUGAUA